rnacentral:piRNA from 1 species
UGUCUUGUUUUGGAACUUUCUGGGCA